AGACUGGAGCUUCAGCCCCCCACGAAGGCUGCUUGCACCCAUGCUCCAGCAGCAGAGGGGGUGGAGAAAGAGAAUCCACCGCUGGCAGGAUAUGUCCCUACUGGCUUAACUGUAGCCACACAGACCAGGGGGUGUCCUGUUACGAGACAGGGGAUGCCCCAGCACCCAAGGCCUAUGCAGUCAGCUGCAGGAAGGGGGUCUGCUCCCACCAGCCGGCCUCCUGGCUGAGUUACCAGUCGUGGUGGGGCCUCCUGGAGGAAGCAGCUGCUGACAGCCCACCCAGACACCAGGCCCUCCCCUGUGGGGUCUGCUCCCCAAAGGCCUGGAAGCCUGGGCUCUCUCCCGCAGGGGCCCACAGCCUCACGACCACAGGGGCCCUGGCGGGGAGCCCCAGGAGCCAAACGCCACACUGGCCCUUCUCUCCCACAGCCCUGUCAGACCCUGCUGCCAAGGAAAACUGCAUGAUGCACCUGCUCCGCUCCCUGCCCGACCCCAACCUCAUCACCUUCCUCUUCCUGCUGGAACACUUGAAAAGGGUUGCCGAGAAGGAGCCCAUCAACAAAAUGUCACUUCACAACC
rnacentral:sRNA from 1 species